rnacentral:lncRNA from 1 species
CAGACUGUGCUGAAGCUUCAUGAGACCUCUCCUCGUCUGUGCACGAAAGAGGAGCCGGACACAGAGUGUCCAACCUACUCUGGAGCCCAGGCUGUUGCUUCCCGGUCUGGCGGUGAGUCCUCCAUUGUCUGAUGUGGGUAAGUCCAAGAUCAAGGAGCCAGCAGAUUCAGAGUCCAGGGAGGGCUGUUCCUGAUUUGCAGAUGGCGCCUUCUCUUUAUGUCUUCACAAGAUUGUGAAGCCUGUAGCUUGGAAGAUAUAGGACAUAGGUGAAAGUGUUUGUACCAUUCAUUUAAAGGCAUAAAUGUCCAACGGGACCAUCUUGCGAUACAUGCACUGUCACAGGAAAAGUUUCCAGGAAAAGUCGAGCCAGGGCUUCACAGAAGAUCAAAAGAAAGAGACAAGGAGAAGAUAAGUGUAUUAGGAUUCUCUAAGGGACAGAACUACUAGAAUAUAUAUACACACACAAACACACACAGACACACACACACACACACACACACAUAUAUAUACAUAUAAAUAAAAGGGAGUUUAGUAAGGAGUAUUAACUCAUACAAUCACAAGGUCCCACAAUAGGCUGGGCCAUCUGUAAGCUGAGGAGCAAGGAAGGCUGUGUGAAUCCCAAAGCUGACAAACUUGGAGUUCAAUGUUCAAGGGCAGGAAGCAUCCAGCACAGGAGAUAGAUGUAGGCUGGGAGGCUAAGCCAGUCAAGACUUUUCACGUUUUUCUGCCUGUUUCAUAUCCUAGCUGCGAUGGCAGCUGAUUAGAUGGUGCCAACCCAGAUUGAGGGUGGGUCUGCCUUUCCCAGCACACUGACUCAAAUGUUUAUCUCCUUUGGCAACACCCUCACAGACACACCCAGGAUUAAUAUUUUGCUUCCUUCCAUCCAACCAAGUUGACACUCAGUAUUAACCAUCACACUAAGCUUAAUUGUUAUUUUAUAGAAAUGCUUGAAAACCAGAGAUAAAUGCAGCUACAAAUGAAUGAUGACUCUGUGUUUUCCUUGUGUAUAUAAAGAUCAACAAUAACACUUAUGUCAUGAAACCCACCUACUUUACAGAUCAUUAUGGAAAUAAUAUACUGCUUCAACAAUGGAGAAACAAUCAUCCAUAUUUAUGCAAGAACUAAAUUCAUGUUUGAAAGCUUGCUUUGAGCUUGAAGAUAUAAUUAUAAAACACGAUUCUGUGACGUAAACAAUGUAUAACAAAUCUUACAGAAAUUUAUGUGAUUACUAAAAAAAAUCAAUUCAUCAAUUCAAUAAACUGAGUACUGUAUUACUUUUCUAUUGCUUCUUUACCAAAUAAAUACAAGCUUUGCAGUUUAAAACAACAGAAAUUUAAUUUUUUAUAGUUCUGAGGGUCCGUAACCUAAAACUGAUCUUAUGAAAUAAAGUUAAAUCUUGGGGAUAUGGGUGUGGACAGGGCUGGUUUCUUCUGGGGCUCUGAUGGUAAAAUUUGCUUCCUUGCCUUUUCUCCUUCUAGGGAGCCUGCAUUCCCUGCCUCCUAGUGGCUUCCUCCCAUCACUCGAACCUCUGUUUCCAGCCUCAGGAUUCCUAAUGUGACUCUGAUGUUUCACCUCCUGUUUAUGAGGACCCUUCUGGUUGCUAAGAUACAUACGGUGACACUAUGGAAGUUAACUUGAAGAUUAAAACCCUGAAAAAUAGAAAGAAUCUUCUAUGGUAUAUCACAGAUAUUACAAGGGCCUGAAUUAGAGCGGUGACAUUUUCAUCCCUUGAUAAUGGACUAAAAACAAUUGAAUGAAGCUUUGGGGUGAACUUACAGGACUUUAUGGCAAACUUCAUAUGGGAGACUUACAUGAAGGGAGGAAGAAAUGCGUAUGUGUACAAAAUCAUGUGGAUAGAUGUGCAUUUGUGGGUAUCUGUGAAUACAAAUACACAAUUUUCAGAUAGAAGUAGUAUAAGAAAAGGAAAUCAAACAAAGUCAGACAUUUUAAGUGUAGCUCUUGGUGCACUUUAAAAAAAUUAUUAAAUUGAAGCUGUAGUUUAUUCUCAUCAUUGUCAUCCUAUAUUAGUGAUUUUCUUUAGCUUUUGAAAUUAAAUUCAUAAUAUUACAAUUCUGAAUUCCUAUGUAUGUAUAUGUUAAGAAUCCUUUAAUGGGACUGACUUUCAUAUGUGUGUGGCUGCAUUCUGAAAUAGUUGUCUAGGUGAUACAUAAAGCAGUGAGUGCUAUUUGUAAGAUAUAUUUAUAUUUAAAGUCUUCAUACAGUUAUUAACUAGCUCCAAUAUUACUGAAAUGAUUUCUCCAAAUAUCCUAUAUUUAAUUAUCAUGCUGGCAAAUUUAUUAUAACUUUGGGUUGAAAAAAUAUAUUAUGAUACAUAUCCACUGACUAAUGCCACCUAUCUGCUUUCCUGAAUUCAAGGUUUAUGAUUAUUUCCAUAAAUGUAUUUAUCAGUAUAAUCAAAAAUAAAAAUAACAUAAAU